UACGUAGGGUGCGAGCGUUGUCCGGAAUUAUUGGGCGUAAAGAGCUUGUAGGCGGUUUGUCGCGUCUGCCGUGAAAAUCCGGGGCUCAACCCCGGACUUGCGGUGGGUACGGGCAGACUAGAGUGUGGUAGGGGAGACUGGAAUUCCUGGUGUAGCGGUGAAAUGCGCAGAUAUCAGGAGGAACACCGAUGGCGAAGGCAGGUCUCUGGGCCACUACUGACACUGAGGAGCGAAAGCCAGGGGAGCAAACGGG
rnacentral:rRNA from 1 species